UACAGAGGGGGCAAGCGUUGUUCGGAAUUACUGGGCGUAAAGGGCGCGUAGGCGGCCUGCUAAGUCGAACGGGAAAUCCCCGGGCUCAACCCGGGAACUGCGUCCGAUACUGGCAGGCUUGAAUUCGGGAGAGGGAUGCAGAAUUCCAGGUGUAGCGGUGAAAUGCGUAGAUACUGGGAAGAACACCAGUGGCGAAGGCGGCUCACUGGUCCGGUACUGACGCUGAGGUGCGAAAGCGUGGGGAGCAAACAGG
rnacentral:rRNA from 1 species